UUUCUCAUCUGCGCCGUACAGCGAGCGAUCGGUCUACGAUGUUUGCCUUCCGGUCCGUUGCGUCUGGACUCUGCAAAACUUGGAUUAAGUUUAGCUGAGAUUCUCUUCUGAUUACACACUGGCCAAGAUGCAAAAAUUGUAAUGGAUUUGAUGCAAUUUAGAGUUAUAUCGGCAUAAUUAUCGACGCGGAUAGUGUGUGCAUCUAUAUUUGGAUUAUUCGGCAGUUAAAAAUGAGAUAAGAGUAUUUCGCGAGGGAAUAUUGAGUCUAUCUCUCGCAGUAUAGCCAAAGCUCUCAGCACAGUCAGAAUGCUCAAAUUAUUAUUUAUCGGCCUUGCAUUAAUUGGUGAGACUUCGUUGCAUAACGUUUUUUCAAAGAAAAUUUUUAAAUUAUUCCCUUGAUAAAAAGGGUCUUUUUUCUCUAUAACCCCUUUGUAUGCGUCGGCGAGCAUAUUCACAGUGGUAAACACCGAUGAGGCUUCUCCAGAUGCAAAGUCUUGCAUAGCACGAAGAUGUGCGGAUGUGCCGGAUCUUGUGCCAGUUUGCGCAUCGAACGGUGAAACAUAUGCAAAUUUGCACUCGUUAAUAUGCAUCAAUGAAUGUAACAAAUCAGACAUACAGUUUGUUCACUACGGCCUGUGCGAUGAAAAAGGAUGACUCAAGAAUGUCAUAUUCUAAAGAUAAAAAUUAUGUAACUAAAAUAAUGGAUACCGAUCAUUCAUCUUUGUUUGUCUUGUUUAAACACACGAAGCGCAGGUCUAAGUAAGAUCGUAAUGCUAUUCAUACGUACUAUAGCUUGAGACGAGCUUGGUCAAUUCAUAGUGACGUAGUUGCUGCUGGAGUACGCCAUGAAGAAUGAUAAUUAGGUCACGCUAUUAUGCGCAUUUGCUUUUUAUUGCGUCGUUAUAAAAUUCUCUUUAUAUUCAUUAUACGAAAAAGCAUCUUAUGAUGUAACUAAGUAGGAACAUCAAUUUCACUUUUCUUAAUAAAAAAGCAGAAUUUUGUAUUACA